UACCACACAUUAUAUUAAUUAUACUUCAUGCUCAAAAUUGUUCACCAACAUCCUCCUCCUUUUAAACCCCUCCACGCCCUCUCUUCUUUCUUCAUAACAUUCCUAAGCUAUAUUAUUUCUCUAACAUCUAUAAAGCUACAUCAAAACACACAUACUCUUUAAUUUUCCUAAGUUCCUUCUCCAUUUUUUUUUUCAUUUUUAUUUGGCUUCUCGCAUUUUCUCUCCUUGACAUGAUCAUGGGAAGCUUUAGCCAAUUUCCACCAAUUUCCAAAUGUAACAUCGAAAACCGAUCAAACCAGCACGUGGUGGCUUCGGACCUAGACGGAACGCUUCUCGUGUCGAGAAGCGCUUUUCCUUACUACAUGCUUGUAGCCAUUGAAGCCGGCAGCAUGCUAAGAGGAUUAGUUCUCUUAGCCUCGGUGCCCUUUGUAUAUUUUACGUACCUUUUUUUAUCUAAGACACUGGCAAUCAAGACCUUGAUCUUCAUUGCCUGUGCAGGCCUGAAGAUCAAGAAUAUUGAGCUAGUGUCUCGGUCCGUGUUACCAAGAUUCUAUGCUGAGGACGUACAUCCAAAAACAUGGAGAGUGUUCAAUUCCUUUGAAAAAAGGUACAUUGUAACCGCUAGUCCAAGGAUUAUGGUGGAACCAUUUGCAAAGACCUUUUUGGGUGCCGAUAAGGUUCUUGGGACAGAACUAAGUGUAACAAAAUCAGGAAGAGCAACAGGGUUUGUUAAGGAGCCUGGGGUAUUGGUUGGUGAACACAAGAAAGAAGCUGUUAUGAAAGAAUUUGGGCCUCAAAGCUUACCAGAUUUGGGACUUGGAGAUAGUUUAUCUGACUAUGAAUUUAUGUCAAUUUGCAAGGAAGCAUACAUAGUGCCAAGGAGCAAAUGUGAUCCCUUACCAAGAAACAAGCUUCUAAGCCCAAUUAUCUUCCAUGAAGGGCGUUUAGUUCAAAGGCCAACCCCGCUAAUUACCCUUUUAACCUUCCUAUGGAUGCCAAUAGGUAUAAUACUCUCAAUUCUAAGGGUGUACCUUAACAUCCCUCUCCCUGAAAAAAUUGCUUGGUACAAUUACAAGCUCUUAGGAAUAAGGGUAAUUAGAAAGGGUACCCUUCCACCACCACCAGGUAAAGGCAAAAAAGGUGUCCUAUUUAUUUGCAACCAUAGAACCGUAACGGACCCAAUUAUCAUAGCCGUUGCUCUAGGAAGAAAAGUUAGUUGUGUGACAUAUAGCAUUAGCAAAUUCAGCGCAUUAAUUUCACCUAUUAAGACCGUGGCAUUGUCCAGAGAAAGAGAAAGAGAUGCUGAGAAUAUUAAGAGGUUGUUAGAGGAGGGUGAUUUGGUAAUUUGCCCUGAGGGUACAACUUGUAGGGAACCCUUUCUAUUGAGGUUCAGUGCACUCUUUGCUGAAUUAACGGAUAGGAUUGUUCCCGUUGCAAUUAACACUAAGCAGAGUAUGUUUUAUGGUACUUCCGUUAAUGGGUACAAAUUCUUUGACCCUUAUUUUGUGUUCAUGAAUCCAAUGCCUACAUAUGAGGUCACUUUCUUGAACCAAUUGCCGGUGGAGUUGACUUGCAAAGGAGGGAAAUCUUCAAUUGAAGUUGCUAAUUAUAUUCAGAGGGUUCUUGGUGGGACUUUAGGGUUUGAGUGCACCAAUUUGACUAGGAAGGAUAAGUACCUCAUGCUUUCUGGAACAGAUGGAACAGUUCCAUCUAAUAAGAAACAUUGAAGAAACUUGAGAGAAGAAACAAAAAUAAAGGGAGGGGUGUUUUGGUAAAGUGUGCAUAUUACUUACUAUAUGGUGUGCUAAAAAUAUGAUGAUAUAUAGCUACAAUCAAAAUACAGUUGUUCUUCUAAUUUUCUAUUGGUAAUAAUGAGAAAUGUUAUUUUUUAUAUAAUAUUUAUAAGACAUUGUGCUAAUUGGUAUACUCUCCUUUACUAUGAGAAAUGUCUUGUAAAUGUUAUAUUCAAAUAAUAUUACUCGUGGUGAAUUUCUGCCUGUAUUUUCAAAGGUUUUAGAAUUAAUUAGUAUAGUAAUAAGAAAUAAUUGUGAUUGUAUUCAUGCCCAAGAACAACAUCAUAUGUAUAUUAUUGUUAUCAAAGAAAUAUUAUUUCUACAAUUACCAAAA